rnacentral:rRNA from 1 species
AGAGUUCAAUCCUAGCUCAAGAUGAACACUGGCGGCAUGCUUAACACAUGCAAGUCGGACAGGAAGUGGUGUUUCCAGUGGCAGACAGGUGAGUAACACUUAGAACCAGCCCUUGGGAGGGGAACAAUAGCUGGAAACGGUUGUUAAUACCCCGUAAGCUGAGGAGCAAAAGGAGGAAUCCCCUCGAGGAGGGGCUCGCGUCUAAUUAGCUAGUUGGUGAGGCAAUAGCUUACCAAGGCAAUGAUCAGUAGCUGGUUCAAGAUGAUGAUAAGACACGAUGUAGACUUCUACGGGAGGCAGCAGUGCGAAAUUUUCCGCAAUGGGCGAAUGCUUGACGGAGCAAUGUCGCGUGGAGGUAGAAGGCUCGCAGGUCAUGAACUUUUUUUCCUAGAAAAAAAGCAAUGAUGGUAUUUGGGGAAUAAGCAUUGGCUCACUUUGGGCCAGCAACCAUGGUAAGACAGAGGAUGCUAGUGUUAUCCGAAAUGAUUGGGCGUAAAACGUUUGUAGGUGGCUUUUCAAGUCCACCAUCAAAUCCAAGGGCUCAACCCUGGACAGGUGGUGUAAACUACCAAGCUAGAGUACGGUAGGGGCAGAGGGAAUUUUCGGCGCAGGGGUGAAAUGCAUUGAAAUGGAAAGAACACCAAUGGCGUAAGCACUCUACUGGGCCGACACUGACAUUAAGAGACAAAAUCUAAGGGAGCGAAUGGGAUUAGAUACCCUAGUAGUCCUAGUUCUAAACGAUGGAUACUAGACGCUAGGCAUGUUGAUCCGUGCAAUGUUGUAGCUAACACGUUAAGUAUCUCGCCUAGGGGCCCGCACGAGCGGUGGAGCAUGUGGUUUAAUUCGAUGCAAAGAAAAGAACCUUACCAGGGCUUGACAUCUCACGAAUCCUCUUGAAAUAGAAGGGUACAUUCGGGAACGCGGAUACAGGUGGUGCAUGAUUGUCGUCAGGUUGUGUCGUAAGGUGUUGGGUUAAGUCCCGUAACGAGCGCAACCCUCGUGUUUAGUUGCCAUUGUUGAGUUUGGAACCCUGAACAGACUUCCGAUAAUAAGCCAAAGGAAGGUGAGGAUGACGUCAAGUCAUCAUGGUCCUUAUGUCUCAGGCGACACACGUGCUACAAUGGCCGGGACAAAGCGUCCCGAUCCCGUGAGGGUGGGCUAACCCCAAAAACCCAUCCUCAGUUCGGAUUGCAGAUUGCAAUUCGCCUGCAUGAAGCCGAAAUUGCGAGUAAUCGUCGGUUAGCCAUACGGCUGUAAAUUCGUUCCCGAGCCUUGUACACACCGCCCGUCACACUAUAGGAGCUGGUCAUGUUUGAAGUCAUUUCCUUAAAUGCAAGGAGGGGUGCCGAAGGUAGGGCUAGUGACUGGAGUGAAUUCGUAACAAGGUAGCCGUACUAGAAGUGCAGGUG